rnacentral:rRNA from 2 species
CCUGACUGCUAUCGGAUUGAUACUAAGCCAUGCGAGUCAUUGUAGCAAUACAAGGCAGACGGCUCAGUAACGCGUAGUCAACCUAACCUAUGGACGGGAAUAACCUCGGGAAACUGAGAAUAAUGCCCGAUAGAACACUAUACCUGGAAUGGUUUGUGUUCCAAAUGAUUUAUCGCCAUAGGAUGGGACUGCGGCCUAUCAGUUUGUUGGUGAGGUAAUGGCCCACCAAGACUAUUACAGGUACGGGCUCUGAGAGGAGUAGCCCGGAGAUGGGUACUGAGACACGGACCCAGGCCCUAUGGGGCGCAGCAGGCGAGAAAACUUUGCAAUGUGCGAAAGCACGACAAGGUUAAUCCGAGUGAUUUGUGCUAAACGAAUCUUUUAUCAGUCCUAGAAACACUGACGAAUAAGGGGUGGGCAAGUUCUGGUGUCAGCCGCCGCGGUAAAACCAGCACCUCAAGUGGUCAGGAUGAUUAUUGGGCCUAAAGCAUCCGUAGCCGGCUCUGUAAGUUUUCGGUUAAAUCUGUACGCUCAACGUACAGGCUGCCGGGAAUACUGCAGAGCUAGGGAGUGGGAGAGGUAGACGGUACUCGGUAGGAAGGGGUAAAAUCCUUUGAUCUAUUGAUGACCACCUGUGGCGAAGGCGGUCUACCAGAACACGUCCGACGGUGAGGGAUGAAAGCUGGGAGAGCAAACCGGAUUAGAUACCCGGGUAGUCCCAGCUGUAAACUAUGCAAACUCAGUGAUGCAUUGACUUGUGGUCAAUGCAGUGCUGCAGGGAAGCCGUUAAGUUUGCCGCCUGGGAAGUACGUACGCAAGUAUGAAACUUAAAGGAAUUGGCGGGGGAGCACCACAAGGGGUGAAGCCUGCGGUUC